rnacentral:rRNA from 1 species
GUGCCAGCAGCCGCGGUAAUACGUAGGCAGCGAGCGUUGUUCGGAAUUACUGGGCGUAAAGAGUGCGUAGGCGGUUCGGCAAGUCUGGUGUGAAAUCUCCCGGCUUAACUGGGAGGGUGCGCCGGAAACUGCCGAGCUAGAGUGUGGGAGAGGAAAGUGGAAUUCCUGGUGUAGCGGUGAAAUGCGUAGAUAUCAGGAGGAACACCUGCGGUGUAGACGGCUUUCUGGACCACUACUGACGCUGAGGCACGAAAGCGUGGGGAGCAAACAGGAUUAGAUACCCUAGUAGUCC